CUACGGGAGGCAGCAGUAGGGAAUAUUGGACAAUGGGCGCAAGCCUGAUCCAGCCAUGCCGCGUGAGUGAAGAAGGCCUUCGGGUUGUAAAGCUCUUUUGUCCGGAAAGAAAAGCAUCCAGUUAAUACCUGGGUGUCCUGACGGUACCGGAAGAAUAAGCACCGGCUAACUUCGUGCCAGCAGCCGCGGUAAUACGAAGGGUGCAAGCGUUACUCGGAAUUACUGGGCGUAAAGCGUGCGUAGGUGGUUUGUUAAGUCUGAUGUGAAAGCCCUGGGCUCAACCUGGGAAUGGCAUUGGAUACUGGCAGGCUAGAGUGCGGUAGAGGGUAGUGGAAUUCCCGGUGUAGCAGUGAAAUGCGUAGAGAUCGGGAGGAACAUCUGUGGCGAAGGCGACUACCUGGACCAGCACUGACACUGAGGCACGAAAGCGUGGGGAGCAAACAGGAUUAGAUACCCCAGUAGUC
rnacentral:rRNA from 1 species